rnacentral:lncRNA from 1 species
UUUUUUAAUUAAUGAAUGAGGCAAAUCUUUUGUCUUUGUUUUAAAAAAGGAAGAUAAAAAAACAGUUCUUCAUACAUGUAGAACUAUCAAUACAAACACCAAAAACUCUAAGAGAUAAUCCUGGCCAAAUAUAAUAUAUGACUUUACAAAAUGAAUAUGACAUGUAGCAAACUAAACCGAUGCACCAAACAGUAUAACUUUAUUGUUUAGUACAUGAAAAAGUUUAAGGGGAUUUCUAAUCUAAUAUCCUACAUAUGUGAGGUAGUACUAACCGAAAAAUAAUCUAGUAAAACCCUCCCAUCAAACUACUCCCUCCGUCUUACAAUAUAAGAUAAUUUUUUAUAUUACACUUUUUGACAUUGGUAUAAGGGAAAGUCUUACAUUCCACCGACUGAUCCGCAUGACCCAUCCGCCGUUCGCUUGUCCGUUGGAUCUGGCAUCGAUCUGAUCGCGAACCGUUCCUGAAACUUGUUCGUUGUUUCAGAAACUGGGCAGUUGUUUCGCAAAACUGCCCAUCCGUGUCUCCGCCUUCGCCUCGGCCCCGACGACC